rnacentral:lncRNA from 1 species
AAAAACGUGUGUUGGAUUAUAUACAACUAAUGAUGACUUUUUUGGGAAUCCAAGUUUAACCUUACUUCUUACGUGCGUGUCCGAUUCAGAGGAUCUUUUCGCUUUCUUGCAACUGUUGACUAUGAGUAUACCCAUAUCCAAGGGGGGGGGGGCUUUAAUUACCCUUAUAAAAAUCUAUUUCCUCUUCCGUUUCACUUUUUUUACUCAUU